rnacentral:rRNA from 1 species
GACAGAGGGUGCAAACGUUGUUCGGAAUUACUGGGCGUAAAGCGCGUGUAGGCGGCCCUGCAAGUCGGGUGUGAAAUCCCACGGCUCAACCGUGGAAGUGCACUCGAAACUGCCAGGGCUAGAGUCCUGGAGAGGAAGGUGGAAUGCUUGGUGUAGAGGUGAAAUUCGUAGAUAUCAAGCGGAACACCGGUGGCGAAGGCGGCCUCUGGACAGUGACUGACG